UACGUAGGGGGCUAGCGUUGUCCGGAUUUAUUGGGCGUAAAGAGCGUGUAGGCGGCCAGGUAGGUCUGGUGUGAAAACUCGAGGCUUAACCUCGAGAUGUCAUCGGAAACCAUCUGGCUAGAGUCCGGAAGAGGAGAGUGGAAUUCCUGGCGUAGCGGUGAAAUGCGCAGAUAUCAGGAAGAACACCAAUGGCGAAAGCAGCUCUCUGGGACGGUACUGACGCUGAGGUGCGAAAGCUAGGGGAGCGAACAGG
rnacentral:rRNA from 1 species